UUGGACCUGAUAUCAGGCAAGAUUACCCGCUGAACUUAAGCAUAUCAAUAAGCGGAGGAAAAGAAACUAACUACGAUUCCGCUAGUAACGGCGAGUGAAGCGGGAAGAGCUCACGCUUAAA
rnacentral:rRNA from 1 species